rnacentral:rRNA from 1 species
CAGCCGCCGCGGUAAUACGAAGGGUGCAAGCGUUAAUCGGAGUUACUGGGCGUAAAGCGUGCGUAGGCGGUGAGUUAAGUCUGCUGUGAAAUCCCCGGGCUCAACCUGGGAAUGGCAGUGGAUACUGGCUCGCUAGAGUGUGUCAGAGGAUGGUGGAAUUCCCGGUGUAGCGGUGAAAUGCGUAGAGAUCGGGAGGAACAUCAGUGGCGAAGGCGGCCAUCUGGGACAACACUGACGCUGAGGCACGAAAGCGUGGGGAGCAAACAGGAUUAGAGACCCCUGUAGUCCCUGUCUCUUAUAC